rnacentral:RNase_P_RNA from 1 species
CCAGACGGCCGGAUGGCCGCUCCGCGGCGACGCGGAGAGGAAAGUCCGGGCUCCACGGAAACACGGUGCCGGGUAACGCCCGGCGGGGGCAACCCCAGGGAAAGUGCCACAGAAAGCAAACCGCCGGCGGCAACGCCGGUAAGGGUGAAAGGGUGCGGUAAGAGCGCACCGCGUCCCCGGUAACGGGGAUGGCAGGGUAAACCCCACCGGGAGCAAGACCAAAUAGGGGCGGCACGCCUUAUGGCAGGCGGGUUUCCGCGUCGCCGCCCGGGUCGGUCGCUAGAGGCGCCGGGCAACCGGCGUCCCAGACGAAUGGCCAUCGCCCGCUUGCGGGUACAGAACCCGGCUUACAGGCCGUCUGGCAUC